rnacentral:rRNA from 1 species
GAUGAACGCUGGCGGCGUGCCUAAUACAUGCAAGUCGAGCGAACAGACGAGGAGCUUGCUCCUUUGACGUUAGCGGCGGACGGGUGAGUAACACGUGGAUAACCUACCUAUAAGACUGGGAUAACUUCGGGAAACCGGAGCUAAUACCGGAUAAUAUAUUGAACCGCAUGGUUCAAUAGUGAAAGACGGUUUUGCUGUCACUUAUAGAUGGAUCCGCGCCGCAUUAGCUAGUUGGUAAGGUAACGGCUUACCAAGGCAACGAUGCGUAGCCGACCUGAGAGGGUGAUCGGCCACACUGGAACUGAGACACGGUCCAGACUCCUACGGGAGGCAGCAGUAGGGAAUCUUCCGCAAUGGGCGAAAGCUUGACGGAGCAACGCCGCGUGAGUGAUGAAGGUCUUCGGAUCGUAAAACUCUGUUAUUAGGGAAGAACAAAUGUGUAAGUAACUAUGCACGUCUUGACUGUACCUAAUCAGAAAGCCACGGCUAACUACGUG